GGGAGUUUUUCGAAGUCGCUCGUACAGGUAUAACGCUCGGCGAUUCGUUGUAUUUUUAACGCUGCCGGUCGGACAAUACGACUGCGGUAAUUUUACGUUUCCCCGUUGUUACUAUUAUUAUACACAAUAUUCUCAGACCAGCGCGUGGAUAUGACGAUUAUUAAAUUUGUCGAGCCGUAAAUACUGAAACGGUACGCGGUAUAGUCUUCGCCAGAUAGGCGAACUCGGAUUAGAUAAUUAUUAUUGACAAUGCGGACGGGUGUAUGAUAAAUUGCGCUGGCGAAUGGACGGGACCCGCGUUAAACCGACGGACGACAAUACAUCAUAUUGUUAUCGUCUGGAAGUCUGUCGGCGGCGUUAUAUAAAUGUUUAAUCGUAGAUA